UACGGGAGGCAGCAGUGGGGGAUAUUGCGCAAUGGGGGCAACCCUGACGCAGCAACGCCGCGUGAAGGAUGAGGGUUUUCGGAUUGUAAACUUCUUUUAUCAGGGACGAAACAUGACGGUACCUGAUGAAUAAGCUCCGGCUAACUACGUGCCAGCAGCCGCGGUAAU
rnacentral:rRNA from 1 species